rnacentral:lncRNA from 1 species
AAAAGUUUUAUUGGGCUAAAAUCAAAAACAUCUGACAAGUUUUUGACUUGUCUUUCUCAUGAUUUAAUGUCCCAGCAGAGCAACUGGGAACCUAAUUCUGACCAAAAAGGAGGAAUUGUUUGGCUAAUUGGAAGUGACAGAAACCUUGGGAGAAAGCAACCGCAUACCAAGGAUAAUUAUAAGAAGAAGAGAAGACAUGGAGAAGAGGAGGGAGUAGUUGUGACCGUGGAGGCAGAGAAUGGAGUAAUGUGAUCAUAAAUCAAGGAAUGCUGACAGCCACUAAAGCUGGAGAAGGCCAAGGACAGAUAUUCAAUCCUCCCGUAGAAGUACAGCCCUGCUAAUGCAUUGAUUUUGGACUUCUGGCCUCAGAACUGUCUGGAAAGCAUGG